rnacentral:rRNA from 1 species
GACAGAGGGUGCAAACGUUGUUCGGAAUUACUGGGCGUAAAGGGCUCGUAGGUGGCCAACUAAGUCAGACGUGAAAUCCCUCGGCUUAACCGGGGAACUGCGUCUGAUACUGGAAGGCUUGAAUCCGGGAGAGGGAUGUGGAAUUCCAGGUGUAGCGGUGAAAUGCGUAGAUAUCUGGAGGAACACCGGUGGCGAAGGCGGCAUCCUGGACCGGUAUUGACGCUGAGGCGCGAAAGCUAGGGGAGCAAACGGG